ACAUGCAAGUCGAACGAACUCUGGUAUUGAUUGGUGCUUGCAUCAUGAUUUACAUUUGAGUGAGUGGCGAACUGGUGAGUAACACGUGGGAAACCUGCCCAGAAGCGGGGGAUAACACCUGGAAACAGAUGCUAAUACCGCAUAACAACUUGGACCGCAUGGUCCGAGCUUGAAAGAUGGCUUCGGCUAUCACUUUUGGAUGGUCCCGCGGCGUAUUAGCUAGAUGGUGGGGUAACGGCUCACCAUGGCAAUGAUACGUAGCCGACCUGAGAGGGUAAUCGGCCACAUUGGGACUGAGACACGGCCCAAACUCCUACGGGAGGCAGCAGUAGGGAAUCUUCCACAAUGGACGAAAGUCUGAUGGAGCAACGCCGCGUGAGUGAAGAAGGGUUUCGGCUCGUAAAACUCUGUUGUUAAAGAAGAACAUAUCUGAGAGUAACUGUUCAGGUAUUGACGGUAUUUAACCAGAAAGCCACGGCUAACUACGUGCCAGCAGCCGCGGUAAUACGUAGGUGGCAAGCGUUGUCCGGAUUUAUUGGGCGUAAAGCGAGCGCAGGCGGUUUUUUAAGUCUGAUGUGAAAGCCUUCGGCUCAACCGAAGAAGUGCAUCGGAAACUGGGAAACUUGAGUGCAGAAGAGGACAGUGGAACUCCAUGUGUAGCGGUGAAAUGCGUAGAUAUAUGGAAGAACACCAGUGGCGAAGGCGGCUGUCUGGUCUGUAACUGACGCUGAGGCUCGAAAGUAUGGGUAGCAAACAGGAUUAGAUACCCUGGUAGUCCAUACCGUAAACGAUGAAUGCUAAGUGUUGGAGGGUUUCCGCCCUUCAGUGCUGCAGCUAACGCAUUAAGCAUUCCGCCUGGGGAGUACGGCCGCAAGGCUGAAACUCAAAGGAAUUGACGGGGGCCCGCACAAGCGGUGGAGCAUGUGGUUUAAUUCGAAGCUACGCGAAGAACCUUACCAGGUCUUGACAUACUAUGCAAAUCUAAGAGAUUAGACGUUCCCUUCGGGGACAUGGAUACAGGUGGUGCAUGGUUGUCGUCAGCUCGUGUCGUGAGAUGUUGGGUUAAGUCCCGCAACGAGCGCAACCCUUAUUAUCAGUUGCCAGCAUUAAGUUGGGCACUCUGGUGAGACUGCCGGUGACAAACCGGAGGAAGGUGGGGAUGACGUCAAAUCAUCAUGCCCCUUAUGACCUGGGCUACACACGUGCUACAAUGGAUGGUACAACGAGUUGCGAACUCGCGAGAGUAAGCUAAUCUCUUAAAGCCAUUCUCAGUUCGGAUUGUAGGCUGCAACUCGCCUACAUGAAGUCGGAAUCGCUAGUAAUCGCGGAUCAGCAUGCCGCGGUGAAUACGUUCCCGGGCCUUGUACACACCGCCCGUCACACCAUGAGAGUUUGUAACACCCAAAGUCGGUGGGGUAACC
rnacentral:rRNA from 1 species